AGUGGAAUUGCUGGGUCAUAUGGUAGAUAUAUGUUUAUAAGAAACUGCAAAAUGUUUUUCCAAAGUGUUCGUACCAUUUUAUAUUUCCACAAGCAAU
rnacentral:pre_miRNA from 1 species